GAAAAGAGGAGGAGACUCAGGGAGAAAGUCAAUAAUACCCUGCUGUUUUGGGUUGAAGUAAAACUCUCAACACGGGAUUCACUGGCACACUAAUAACCACGAUGAUUAAUUUUAGGAAUAACUUACAGGCAGGGCUCUGUCCAGCACUCCCUGCCCCCACUCUCAGCUGAAGUAAUUAGACACUCGGAAUGAACGCGUUUGGUUGGCAGUAAGCUUCAGGCACAGUCAUAGUGCCUGGGACUUGGGGGCGGGGAAGGGGACAGCUCGCUCUUACUCCGCACCCUCCCUUACUCUGUGCCUUCGCUGUGUUUCAGGUGCGUUUGAUGAUCACUGACGCUGCCCGCCAUAAACUGCUGGUGCUCACCGGACAGUGCUUUGAGAACACUGGCGAGCUCAUCCUGCAGUCUGGCUCUUUCUCCUUCCAGAACUUCAUAGAGAUUUUCACAGAUCAAGAGGCCUGGGAUUGAUCACUAUUACGAUCGAUGGAUGAGUGCAACCUCGGCCAUUGUGCUGGAGGAGACGUCGGUGGGCACUGUGAGUGCAUUUGGAAUGGUCGUCAUUAACGGAUGGCAGAAGUGCUAGCGACACUAGAACCGACCGAACUCCAGGAGAAACACAGCUUUCCUGCUUUCUCAGAGAUUUUUCCACAGAUCUCUUGGACUUCAGCAGGAUGAGAAGCUGGGGUGGGGUCCGGCCGGAGUGGACUGAGAGAUGCACUUCCGGGAGCUACUGCAGUCAGAGCUGUCUCCCUGAGAUGGCAGGCUUGGUGUGUCGUGUACUGGGAAGGACCAUGUGUCUCCCAGCCUUCAGUCGUCCUCAGCCCCACGCUUCACAGAGAGGUCUCAUGGCUUGGCCUCUCACAAACUGUCCGGCUUCAUUCGGUUUCACCUAGAGGCCUUAGGAAAACCCUGGAGAGAUGACACACCAGUUUUCCCUCUCCGCACGGAGACAUAGGUCAGGGAGACAGCAUGGAAGUGUGAAAAGGGACAUUUCUAUUCAGUGUGUGGAGCCCCAGUUUGUUCAGAGGGUGUGAGGUCAUCUAUAUCUGGAGGCACAUAGCACCAGCUCACCAGAGUGAGAAAGAUCCCUGGCUGGCAAGUGGCUCCUUGCUCGGAGGCCUCUGUGCACACUCACAGCUAGCCUGUCUUCCCACUUUAAGGUGGAAGCUUUGCCUGUGUCUUUCUCUAGAGCUGGGCUUCCUCCACCCCCAGGGCUAAGCCAAAUGCCCUGCUGUAUCACAGCCACAUUGCUCAAUUGCCCUGAAAUGCCAGGGAAAGAGCUAUGAUUUACCCUGGUGGGACUGCUGGGAAACUGUUGAAUAGUCAAUCAAAUACCAGUUAUUUUUCAAAAUCUGUUCUUAGAUCAUGUGCUAUAACAGGUACUUGGGCUUUUGUCUGGCAUUCCAGAUGUCAGCAUCUUGUCCAAGGGAUGGGAUUGAGUUGUAGUGGCCAAUCUCAUGUAGGGUGGUUAAGUGAUACAGCUGGUAAGAUCAGCUCAGCCCUCAGCCUUUGGUUCAUUUGCAUGCACGUGGGUGCUUUCCCGAACUCCUGUACAGUUCUGUAGCUCCUUUGCCAAAUAAAGGAAAUGUGUAAGAAAAAGCAUUUUCUCAUUGCCAAGACUUUACACAAGGAGGUAUCCAUAUGCCAUUCAUCUGGGCCCUAAGUAAUCCCCUCUCUGAGAAUGAAGAAUGGUUUUAUGAAGUUGCCACUUAAAUCACUUUUUAAAGACCUAGCAAUGGAAUUUUUGUACAGUGGGCUGUGCGUGUGCCCAACUUUACCAUUAAUUACGAAGAAAAAGAAAGCCUUAUCUAAAG
rnacentral:lncRNA from 1 species